rnacentral:rRNA from 1 species
UACGUAGGGUGCGAGCGUUAAUCGGAAUUACUGGGCGUAAAGCGUGCGCAGGCGGUUUGGUAAGACAGAUGUGAAAUCCCCGGGCUUAACCUGGGAAUUGCAUUUGUGACUGCUCGGCUAGAGUGUGUCAGAGGGGGGUAGAAUUCCACGUGUAGCAGUGAAAUGCGUAGAUAUGUGGAGGAAUACCGAUGGCGAAGGCAGCCCCCUGGGAUAACACUGACGCUCAUGCACGAAAGCGUGGGGAGCAACAAGG